GAGUCACAUGACCUUAUUGUUUACAAGGCAUUCGUUUUGUACUGGUUCUUCCUUCUGAACAGGCUACAGCACUGACUGAUAUAAACUGAACUGAAGGAGGAUGAAUGCAUCAAGGGAAAAAAGCAAGCAAACCAUAUCUGUAGACACAAUCAAAGCUCGUUCAUCAAUUCCAGACUUUUGGAUUUGGACAAGUCUCUGUUGUUAAGUCUGCAGUUCAUCACUUCCUGUAAAGGUAACCCUCCCCCAACACCACUUUGGGGCAACUCAAGAGCACUGCUUGGUUAAGUGACUUGCUGAUGAUCACACAGCAGGCAAAUGGAGGUAGAAGGAGUCAAAGCCUGUACUCUCAAUUACAGAAAGCAGCUCAUUAAGAAUGUGGAACCUCAUCUACUGCAUUAAUUGCCAGCCCUUUAGUAACUUCAUUUUCUGGUAAAUCACUGAGGAUUACAGUCAGUCAGUAAUACCAUUCAUUAGAGUUUCUUAGUUCUUGUUGUUGAAAAUACAUUUUGAUGCUAACCCUGAUGUUCUGUUAACUUUUUUAAGUGAAAUGGAGUAGUCUGCUCUCAUCUGGUUCUGAUUUUGAAUAACAUUUCUGAUUCUGUCUCAUAUUAAUGCUCUGUUCCAUUAUAAAUUUACAUUCACUUGAUGUCAAGCAGAUAACUGAGGUGUACGGUCAUACUAGGGGCUAUAAUUGAUUGGUGCGUGUGUGUGUGUGUGUGUGAAGUGUCUUUAAGUAUUUGGUUCCUGCAUCCAAAACUACUUAUGGUACAAAGGAAGGAACUGAGUGCAGUAAAGGAUCAUUAUCACAUGAACUAUGUUUUUUCAGUGCCAACCAUGUUUUCCUAGUUUUGUUGACAGUGUGUUUAUUAUAAGGCUGUAAAUAAAAUGAACAGCAUGAAGUCUAUGAGAGUUAAUAUUUCAACUACGAAUACAAAUUUCAGCAAAUCAAAUCUUCGGCAAAGCACCACGGCUUAUUUUUGGUACAACAAAUAAAAUCUUCGGUGAAAUACCGAGACUGAAACGAUAAAAAUAACUUUAAUAACACUUCAAAAACUGCUUGCUAUGAAUACAAAUUUAGCUUGUUUGCAGGCAUGCAGAUUUGAAUUGCACUUUGGCGGGCUUAAGCAGCUUUUCUAGUAUUAACGCAGAUGAGUUAGGCUACGAGCUGUUUGUGAACACUUCCUAUAGUGUCAGGUUCGAUUCCCUCAGACUUCUUUUGUCUACUGUCCGUCUCUUACUCUAUACAAAUCUCUCCACCAAUCAGCAUUCGUCGGCUGUCCCUAAAAAGGAACAUGGGUCUAGUGGGCUGUCUCAGGCUGUUAGCAAAUACUUUAUACAUUUGGCUUUUCAAUUCCUGCCCCCUUCACAUAUCUGCUGAUUAGUGCUUCACUGUAUGCCAUUUGAUUAUGAAUCCCUGCAUGUAUUUUCUAGUUUAAUGGGUUGCAAUAUAUAAUUUCAAAAAAUGAGUUUACUGUUUCACAUGCUGUUUGGUUUCAGUGUGAGAGUGUUUUGCUUGGCAAAUGGUUGUAAUUGUUUUUGCUGUAAAAUUUUUAUUAAAAGUUUUAAUUAUAUUUAAAUCUCUGUGACAAUAAUAAAAGUAGAGAUGAAAGUAUGCCCAUACAUUGCUAGGCUUGAACCGAACCAUGUUUUUUUGUAACUGGGAAGACAGAGACACGUAUAAAAUAUUGGUAUGGCUGUAAGGGGGUCCAUUACUCUACAUAGGACCCCAUUUGAUCAAGAUCUGGCUCUGCUGACUCUAGAGACAUAUGUUGUGACAACACAGUAUUAUUUUCCAUUCAGAUAGGGCAGAUCUGUGCUGACUGAUGUUGGAGGGGAUAGUUAUUCUUCAUACAGGUAUGAUAUAGGAAGGUCAAAAAUUAUGUAGGUAUGCUGCAAGCAUGUAAGCCCCUCUCCCACCAAAAUAUAUGUUCCAUGUAGUAAUA